rnacentral:lncRNA from 1 species
UAAGGCAAAUCAUCCCAAUGCCUCGCAAUAUGGAUUUAUGUCAAAUAUAGAUUUGGCGGUGUGACUCUUGAAACUUUCUUGAUGAUUUGUGGCUUUGUUACCGUGUCGAAAGGCCCUCCUCCCGUGGUCCGUGUGACCACGGAGGGCUUGCUCUAUCAUGUAAUCUGUUCUUUUUCUUCUGCCCAUUUAUAUGCCGGGCCUUAUGCUGCUGCACUGCACUGUUCCUCCAAGUUACGGUUAUAAAUAAUUAAAUGUUCUGUUUGGAUUCGUCACAAGGUCCGUGUGUAAUUCAGCAUGGCAGUCUAUCUGCUGCAUAUCUGUUGGAUAUGAUCUCCAGCGUGUCUUUUUGUCGGAUGAAAUUUCUGGCAUGUAUGUUAGUAGCUAGCUCUCUUGACUGUGCUGUGCUCUACCCACCGCACCAACAUCUUUUGACUGUGCUAAACAGUUGAAGUGUGUACUAUAUAAAUAGGAUAUGGUGCUGAUGGCGACCAUGAUGCCGAGAGAAAGCAAUGGACAUGAGGCAAAGCAUUCAGCAUUUGUACGCUACAUUACUUUAGUGCUUCGCUUGGUGCCUGUGAAUGCAGCCCUUGUUCGGGUACCAGACAACAAGAAUUUUGUGAGGAAGGAGAGGAUUCCUCCCCCCAUAUUCCAAAAAUUCCCACUUCAAAUCAUGAAGCUGCGAAGAUCAAUUUUCACACCAUCAGGGCUCGUUCCGUUUGGAGGAAACUAAAAUGUACUACUAGGAUUUAGGAAUAAUAUAAGAAUUUUGACCUGAACAGUUGCCAACACACAGGAAAUGAACAGUAUUUCGAUGAAAAUUGUUGUGCUCCUUUCCUACAAACCGAGUACAUCUGCGAGGAACUUUCCUCUGGAUUCCCUCAUUCCAACUGCAGAAACCAAAUGAGCCCCAUGUGCUCGGAUGUCAUCUCAAAGGCAGCCAACUUUUCAUGUUCCUGAUGUAAAAUAUGUAUGAAGAAACAGCAAGGAAAGCCAUCACCGCCGAGGACAGUCAACAUCUGCAACCCCAGAAAAAACCCACCAGUAACACGACAUGCAUCCAACAACCCUCCGAAACUUUCAACUCAGCAGAGCAGAGCACGAGGCAGGCAGACCGCGGCACGAAACCAGCUCCUCAGGUAAACUGGAAAGCGUGUCACAAUGAUAUAUAAUCUGGUCUAACCAUGGCAGUUCAUAUAAACGACUCUUUCUCGGCUCAGUUCAGCAGAGUUACAAAGCUACACCAUAAACAUUCAUUCCACAACAACCAACACCCAGGGAGCAAGAAGAGCGUGCACCGACCAAGCGAAAAACGGUUUCGGCGUCGUCUGCCGAAGCUAUCUAAAACAGGAACCAACCAACGAACGGAACAAGGGCGGGGUGCUUCAGGCGCCGGGGCCACCCCUGAAUCCAUCAGAACCGGCGGACGCCACGGUCAAAGACCCUGGCCGAGGGGCACUCGUAUGACAUGUGGCCCCUGCCGCCGCAGGUGUCGCAGAUGACGGUGGCCAUGCAGUUGCGGCUGAUGUGGCCCGGCUGGCCGCACAUGCGGCACGAGAUGUCGCGGAAGGGGCCCCCGUGGAUCUCCGAGGCCAGGGUCGUCGUCUUCGGGCAGGCGCGGGCCAGGUGGCCCGACACGUUGCAUAGGUUGCAGACAGGGUCGUUCUUGCACUCGCGGGCGAUGUGGCCUGGCUGGCGGCAGUUGUUGCAGGCGCGGUCGUUGGUGCAGUCGACCGCGAUGUGUCCCGGCUUAAAGCAGUUGUUGCAUAGCUUGGCGUUGGACCCUGAGGCGGGGCAGUCGCGCGCCAUAUGCCCCGUCUUGCUGCAAGUGUGGCACAAGGCCUCGUUCUUGCAUUCAGUGGCAAUGUGCCCAGACUUCUUGCAGUUCCAGCAAACUGUUUUGGAAGUGCAUUCUGCUGCAAAGUGCCUGACAAAAGAUAUAUUUAAACAAGAGUUAUGGCCCAACUUUUUAAUACAUUUCUGGUAACAAUAACAUAGCAGAAAAUAGCCAAAAGGGACAAGCAAUAAUCGAGAGAACUGCAUACUGACCCCCGCAAAGUUGAAAUAAGUACAGGUGUACAAGUACAGUAAGAGAGUGCUGAAAGUUCACUUUACCCUGGAAGGUUACAAUUAUUGCAGGUAGAAGCAGAUGGGCAAUCCCUAGCAAUGUGGCCAGGUCUCCUGCAGUUCUUGCAAAUAAUAUCCCUGGAAAAUCAUUCAAGUUAAACAUGGCCAUUUUUCCAUCAAAGGACGACAUAUAUUAUGAUGGUGACAGUAUAAUAUUUCCAUAACCAAAAAGUCACUUUGGAACCCGGGUGUAUUGGAGCCCUAUUUUUUGAACUGUGCCAAAAUGCUUUUUUGAAGUUUCAAAAAAUUCUGAAAACAAAUCAACAUGUUUAUAUGAAUGUAUAUUACGCAUGUGUAAACUUUGAUGCUGAAAUAAGUAACCAUGUGAGUUACACAAAAAUGACAAAAUCGUGAUUUUAGAAAGAUGAACAGUGCAUGCAUUAUUCACUAUUUGGAAAUCACCAUUUUGUCAUUUUUAUAUAGGUCGCAUAGUUACUUAUUUCAUCACCAAACAUUACACAUGUGUAAUAUACAUCCAUAUGAUCACGUAAAACCAAAACCGAAGCCGCCGCUCCUACGUACAGAUGAAAAUCACACACGCCGACCCCAAGGCCGCACACCAGGUGAGCCGCCAGCUUCGUCACCCGAGCAACCGGAGCCGACACCAACAACCAGAUCCGGAGCCGCCGCUCCGAUCUCCACGCCGACCCUGAGGCCGCGCACCAGGCUGGCCAACGACACUACCACCCACGUGACCAAUGCUGCCACCCCUCCAUGACGACGAGAUCCGGAGCCGCCGCUCAGACUUCCACGCCGGCCCCGAGGCCACACACCACCUGAGCCGAUGGCUCGCCCAAGCCAAGACCACUCCAGAACGAUGCCUCCAAGAAGGAACACGACACCCGAGCGCCGCCAUCGUCCGCUCCAGGAACCUGGAACUGGGGUUUCCCCGGAGUGCGAGAGAAGAGAUCGUAGGCCCUCGAACAACGACGCCUCCAAGAAGGUCCCGACGCCCACAAGCGUCGCCAUCGUCGGCGCCGGCCAAGGCCAGGGCAAGGCUUUCGCCCCGAGAAGCCAACGAAAGCCCUCCCCUCGAAACGGCACACGGGAGCCACCGCCCGCCUGAACAACCACCCGCCUCCAAAGCCCGGAGUCAUCGAUGAGAACAGCCCCGCCGCCGCCACCUGCACCACGCAGGGCCGCCGACUAGGCUACCCCAUCACCACUACAGGAGUCAGAACUAGCCACGACUGGUCAGAUCAGACACCCCGCGCAACAGCUACAACCAACCCACCAGCCAGCACCAAGUGUCCCUCGUGCGACCGAGGGCCGACGCACUGCCGCAAAGUACCGACGCCCCCGAGCUACAGCCAUGGCGCUGCCCACGCAGCCACCAUGGCCGCCGUCGCCGAAGAAGAGGUCUGGGGCGGCCACCCCGGCGUCCAAGCACCACCCGCCAUCACGGCCUCAUAUCCGCCCCGCUGCAGCAACAACAACACAUCCCCGCAUGCUCGCCCCCGCGUGCAUCGGUCCUUGUUCGCGACCCCAUAAAGUAGAUCCACAAUGCCGGCCUCAAGAGCGCCCGCGCCGCACCUCCAGCUCAGCCACCCGCGAGCGGAGACAUGCCCGCCCGCCUUCGAGGGCCUUAGCCCGCACCUCCUGCCGCAGCCACCGCACUGCCAGAGGGGCCGUUGUUGAGCAGCAGAAGCCGCCCGCCCACGCAACCACCCGCCGGAUCCACGCAGCCAAAGCCGCCGGAGAAGCCGUUGACUCGCAGCACCUGUGCCCCCAUCCACCACCUGCGCAUGUGGGGAAAGCCACCGGCCGCCGGGGGGCUUUGCCCGCUGGCGUGCGCCGGCGAGGCCGAGAGGGAGGGAGGGGACGGGGGUGGGGGUGGGGCCGGCGCUGGGUUCCGCCCGUGCCGCUCCUAGGAGCGACGCAGGGGCGAGGAAGGUGGAACCGCAAGCCUUUUUUGGGUUUCUCCCUCCUCCACAUCAGCCUUUAUCCUACAGGGCACUCCAAAGAUAGCACCAUUGUACACACCCUUCAGGCUUUGCUCUUUGAUGUGCUUUUCCAGUGGAUUACGGAGUACUAGCAGUAACAUACACCUUAGUAAAUCUAUAAAGUAGUGUGCUACAAGUUAUAGAUGGGGGGAGGGGGGUCCACACCAUAACGUAAUGCAGUGAGGGUGGUUUAAUGGUAUUAUAGAAACAACACAGACCUGUUAUGGCGUCAUACUUUAGGAACAUGGAAACAUCACAUUCAAUUCAUACUUCCUGAUACCAAGUUCCAGUUGUUUCUCAGAUUGAUACCAGAGCAAUAUUGUUGAAAAAUAUUGGAUUCAUUAAUAAUAAUGUGUUUCUUAUGAGUUACCCAACUCUACUUAGUCCCACCUAUUCAAAUCCUACCAUAUCUAGCAAAUUUGUUCCUAAGUCCAUCGAGAGAGCCUUUGAUACCCAUCUAACAGCUUCCCCAGAAUCCAGGCUAGAAACUUGAGAGAUACCCAAAAGGUACGUGUUAGCCUUGACGGAGGAAGAGAUAAGUGACGUCGGCAAGUAAAUCACAUAAAAUUCUGCCCUGACAAUUUGACUGACCAGAUAAAAGGCAACUGGGGCUGGUUGUGGUGGUCCAGCUAGCCCAUGUAGCACACUUGAAGACAAGGGUGCUAGGCAUAUAUAUCUCUAGAGAUAUCCAUGGUUCAUUCACCAUAUACCAAUACCAUUGGCAUUGCCAGAAAUAAACCAGGCAGCCAAUUUUCUAGAGAUAUGCAUUUCCCUGUGUGGUUUAGUUAAUGCAAAGCUAUUGGCAUAGUAACUUCGUCAGACUAAAACCUAUUAAAAAGAACACCAACAUGCCUCCAAUACCAGUUGACCAACUAAAGAUGCUUAAAUAAAUCAGACAAGCACAAUAGCUAUUUUUCACAUAUAUACUAACACUUCUAUGACAAGUAAAUAAAUAAAUAAAAUGUUGAUUCAUCAUUCUAUUUUUCCACAAGUGUGCUAGCUAUGGUGUGUCGAAUUGUCGAUACCCACUCCAGUGCAGAAGAGCGGGCAAAUGAUGCACUACUGGACAGCCAACGAUGCGUGAACUUGUGCUGCAGUUGGUAUUCCAGUGAAUACUUCAGGCAACAUAAACCCUCAAUGUAAAUCCAAGUCAGCAUAACAUAUUUUGCAAGCAAGCUUCUAAGAAGAAAACAUCAGCAGGUGCACAACACUACUGGACAUCCAACGAUGCGUGAACUUGUGCUGCAGUUGGUAUUCCAGUGAAUAUUUCAGGUAACAAAACGCUCAAUGUAAAUCCAAGUCAGCAUAACGUAUUUUGCACGAAAGCUUCUAAGAAGAGAACAUCAGCAGGUGCACACCUGUAGCUACGACGUUCGCUGCGACGAGGAGGACUGCGGCCACGACGAGGUGGGCUACGGCUGCGGCGAGAUGAACGCUCGCUGCGCAGCCUAUCUCGCCGAGGGCUUCGGCUUCUGCUCCGGCUGCGACUCCUGCUCCUGCUCCUGCUCUUACUCUUGCUGCUGCUCUUGCUCCUGCUCCUGCUCCUGCUCCUACUCUUGCUCUUGCUUCUGCUCCUGCUCCUGCUCUUGGCCCUACCCACGCUCUUGCCACUGCCGCUGCUGGCGCUUGGUGAUGGACUCACCAUAACUUGAUCCUAGCACAUGAAUUUCAAAAUGAACUCCAACGGUCAGACUACAAACAAAUCCAGGGAGAAGGCAAAAUCACAUCUACCAACAGAAUGAAAUAACACCCAUGUUAAAGGGCAUGGACACAGACGCGCGUGUCCAACACCAUACAUGUUGAGGUACAUGGGUUUCACCAUUCUCCAGAAACUACAGGGACAAGGGGGAGGGGGCACCAUGGUUACACAAAUAUUUCAAUCAUAAUAUGCAACCUGGUUUCCAUCGAUUUUGCUACCCCGAAACAAGAUAAGCUGCAAAUGUUAAAAUGUGCACUAAAUAAGCAGCGUGACAAUCAACAAACAAAACUCUAGCGCGCCCGAGAGGAGACCCGUAUCUAAAUCUACCAGCAUAUCCAAUUCAAACCUGGCGGUUCAACAGGGAGUUUCAUUUCCAGUAUGGCCUAGGCCUGCUACUACUACUCCUAGACUCGGCGGCCGCCCCGGGUCUGACGGCGACGGCGUGCGAGGAAUGAGGCGAUCCAGGGGAGGGGAAGGGACUCACCAUGGCUCGGGGAGGAGCGUCGGGGUGGGGUGGGCCGCCGCCCGCGCAGAUCUGCCGAGGCCCGAGCGGGAGAGGGCGCGGAGGAUGGGCGGAUCUGGCGGCGAGGGACGAGGGGGCGGGAGCAGGGCGGUGGGCGAGGGAGGGAGGCCGCCGCCGGCGGAGUGGCCCGGCGAGGGAGGAGGCGCUCGGACGGCGAGGGGAUGGUUGUUUUGGGUGGGAGAAGGCCGGUGCUGGUAGUAGUACUGUGCCAGUCCUGCCCGCUAGGGUUAAAAGGUGUGGAAGAAACCGUGGCCCUGCCUCGUUGGUCAGCCAGCGAGUGAGUUAACGGCAGCACCGAGGCCACUGAACUUGCAGUUAAAUUUUUUGACUGAACUUGUCUCUGUAAAUUUGUUUGACUAUGCUUCAAGUUUCGAACAAAACUGAGCUCAUGCUCUCGAUGUUUCUUGUUGGAUAAUGUUAUUCAACGAAUGUUCGCUGGGGUGCAUGGCAAAACGAACGUUUUUCCACUACAAUUUAUGUGUUCGGAGCAUGUCAAUUCUUUCAAGCCAACACGAAAAUUUUCGCAGCAAGGUUCUUUGUUUGCCAGAAUUUGCCAUGUGUUUUUGAAGAAAUCGCCAUGUGUUUUCAAAAAAUUUGUUGUAAAAACAUCCGUAGUUAUCGUGCCUCGCAACAAAAGUUCGUUGCCUAUUGGUUGUCAUUGUACGCGCACGUUGCGCGAAACAUUGUGAUACCAUACUCUUUUGAUGCGCAUAUGAUAUUUUUUUGGUUCUAUCCGAUAUCUUGCCUAACUGUUUAUAACAAAGAGCUGACUAUAUGGAGUUGCCAUGUCAUUUAUUGUCAACAUAAUAGUCCAUAAUAGUCCACACAUACAAUAGUUAGCCAUAGUAGUAUGGCAUGCAAUUAAUAUAUGGCCCACGUCUCUCUCUCACACAAAGCUUGUUGGGUCUCGUGCUACAGCCGACUGUAAGCUUGUACUACCUCCUCCGUCCGGGUUUAUUAGACCCCCUUUGUAUUUUGGGUCCAAAUUUGACCAUGUAUUUAACUAAAAAUAUAUAAAGUAUAUGGAACCCAAAGUAUAUUGUUGGAUUUGUAUUUGAAAGAGGUUUUCUAAGGUAUAGUUUUCAUGACAUAUAGUUUAUAUUUUAUUAGUUAAAUUCAUGGUCAAACUUUGGCUCUAAAUGAAAGGGGGCCUAAUAAACCCGGACGGAGGGAAUAGCCCACUUCUCUUCUCUCCUCUCUUCUUUCCUUCAACUAGGCAUAAAUCUGACGUGACAUCUAUUAUAGCCCGCCUACGUCACUCUAUUGUACUUGCUCUUAUUCAUUGUGGGACCACUGUUGUAAUCCUAAUGAUUGAAGAAUGUGUGUUGUCACAUGGUGCCACUCGAGCAUUCAUUAAGUGGGGAUGCGAAACCACCUUCUAGUAGUGAUUUCAUGAACAGGCCUCUAUAGCCGUUUUGAAAGAGCAAUAUAGGUACAGGAGAGCGGCAAAAAUGUGAGCGAUAAUAGAGAAAGAGAGUGAUAAGCGACUCAUAAAGAUAUGAUAAAUCAUACAGGGUGCGAGCCACGGUUUUACAAAUGUACGUAUCACUUCUAUGUUUUCUUUUCUUGAAUGAACUGGAGAAUAUUAAUGAUAUUGAGCUAUACCUAUUGAUAUGCAUGCACGCCGAUACAAUUUUCAUCAAAAUCACUUAGAAUAUGGGCAGGCUUUUUAUGAUGUGACUGAAACACAAAAUUAAAAUUGUGAACCGGGUAAGAUAGAAAGUGAACCCUAGAAAUCCGCCGUAAACACAUAUUUAGUAUCACUAUGGUGCUGGCACACAACCUAAUUUCACUCUCGGUGUACAACAGAUGACGGCGCAAAAAAUCAAUUCAAUUACAUUUCCUUCAUAAUUUUUUUUAUCAAAUAAAUACUACUCCCUCAAAAAAUGCCUUAUAUUAGUGAACAGAGGGAAUACAUAAUAUGCAUUGGAGUUGUAGCACGAGUAAGACUGUGUAAAGGGUUGCUCACCAAGAUCCACAGUACUGUUUGUAUCGCUUCCUUUUAGGUCAACAAGCAUCGUAGGUUUGGUUUUAGCCCAAGCUCAAACCGCAAGCUACCAAAUAUUUGACCUGUCAACGUUUUGGUCAAGCUUUUGAUUACUAGAGUUAUCAAAACAAAAUAAACCGGCGACAAAGGGCCCCUUUGAUUCAGAGAAAAAGUAGAGAAAUAACAUAGGAGUAGGAAAUUUACAUAGGCCCUAGAUUACACUAUUCAUCCACUUGAUUCAAAGGAGUGAACCAUAGGAAGAAUGUAAAAAGAAAAAUCCUUUGAUUUGAGUCAAAGAAAUUUUACAAUCAACUCCAACCACUUUCUUUUACAUUCCUAUGCAUAAAGACCAUAACUAACAUAGUCUUACCUUUUGCAUAUGCUUUGACCCUAUUUGACUGUUUUAUAGCAUUCUUAUAUUUUUCCUAGCGAAUCAAACACAAAUUCUACAAAUCCAGCGGUUUUACAAUCCUGUAUUUUGCUCAUGCAAUCUUAUCAUGUUCUUAUGUUUAUACUAUUGAAAAGGCUAGGAGAAUGGUUGCGCAUUAGCAGCAACAGCAAUCUUGUACUCCAUGCAACACCACAGUUCUACAAAUCCAGUGGUUUUACAAUCCUCUGUUUUACUCUUGAAGUACAAAAUUACAUUGGCAAACUACACCUAGCAACAACCGCCGAAAAGGGUGAUGAUAGUAGACCUAUCACACUGGAGUGAACCAUGCUGAAUACACGCACAACUUUAUUCAUAUCUACUAUAUAAAUCUUGCGGCCGGCACAGCACCACACUAUACGCCGGCUUGCAGAGGAAAUUCGGAAGAACUGGUGCGAGAAACAACAUACCGUCAACCUCAAAGAAACAACAUACAGUAACGCUACGCUACUGGCACUGGCAGGCAAUGAACCGUUGGGAGACAGACUCGGGAGGCUAAGGAAUGGACUGGGGAUCGUUCAUCCCAGCGAGAAACGCGACGAAGAUCCACACCAUCAGGAGGCCGACCACCGCAGCCCUUAUCGCGUUCUCGCAGUUGUAAGGGGAUGGAAGCUCCUCCAGUUCCUCGUCCAAGUCCAUGUCCGAGACUGGUGAUCUGGAGCCGGCGCUGGUAAGGCUCCUGCUCCUGCUCCCCUCCCCUGCCUGGAUUAGUGAACUGUCGCGAGGCUUCUUGCAUCGUGAGCAGUUGCAUUUGCCACCAAGAAAAGCUGGCACAAUCUGUAAGAACUCGGCUAACGUCUUCUUGUACGAUUCUCCCUCGAAACGCAGCUUCUGCUUUGUGGAUGGUUUCAGGAGCUGCGCAGGAUUUGAAAAGGGAAUAGUAAGUACAAUAGUUGCUUAUUAGAUCAUCUCAAAAUAAUUAAUAAUGCUCAUUCAGGCUUUCAUCAAGACUUCCCUGUUUUGUAUCAAAAAAUGCAUGACAUAAUUUUAAUAUGGUAGAGGCUGCAAAAAAUCCAAUACAAGAGUGCGACAGGCAAAUUUUGGCACUAAACCUAAUACUGAGACAGGUGGUACGACUUGCAAAUUUUAGCAGUCAUGUACAUUAAUAUCACAACACACUAACAAAAAAUAUCACGAAGACAUGGUCAUUGUCUACAUAAAACAGAUGUAGCUGAUGAUGGAGGUUUGUAUAUUACAUGAUUGAUACAGAAAGAAUGACAAGGAUGCCAGCUAUACAAAUGUGAAUCGUGUGCGUUGAGUAAUGGGGCAAAGAUAGUAAUCUUACUUGAAUAAAAGUCUGUGCAAUAACUCUGACAACUGGAGGAAGACGGACAACAAUUAAUACUCCAAGACGAUUUGGGUAGUUUUCUUGAACCAAGUUGACAAAUGACCUCAUCAUUUGCAUCGGAAAUUUGAAUGGAGAAAUCCCGUGGCAAUCCAGCAAAACAGUAAUUCUUGGAUCUUCUUCGUUGGUCAAAUGUAUAAUACCAUGGUCAAUCUGAGAAACUGGACAGAAAGAUGCUAGUGAUUAGUGGCCACUACUGCAACCUCAAAACAGGAAGGAAAAUGACUCUGAAGUGGCAAGUAAACCAGAAAACUAACUAACUUCUAGUAAAUGAUAAGAACAACUAAACAAAUAAUUGCUGAAAGAGAAACUAUGUUUUCUGUCAGAUUAAGUAACAGUGGACCAAUGGACCGCAUGAUAGAAAAAUAAGGUCUAUCGCAAAGUGUAAGCAAGAAAUCCAUUCCCAUCUUACCAAACUCUAACUGAUGAUGGACUAUUACAAGGAAAAUAAAUAUGGAACAAAUUGAUAGUCAGAUAAAACAGGUUGAGAAAUUACCUACUGCCUGCCCAAAACAAGGUCUAUCACGAGGGGCUAUACUAGAGCACGCGAGUCCAAGACGGAUUACUAAGCAAGGCCGAAGCGUAGUGUCAAACCCAUGCCAAAAGACCAAAUGGGACCAUUUCUCAAGUUCUUGCAAUGUAAGUAUGUGAAAAGUUUCCCUCCAACGGAUUGUCUUCUUAACUGAAGAGACCAAGAUUGAAAGGUCACCAUUUGCUGCCAUGUGGAAUCUGCGUAGUUCAUCUUCACUGAACCUGAAACAUACACCAGAUAAACUAUUCAGCCAUACGUCAUCUCGCUGCAUGCCAGUAAGAUCCUUUCUAUGCUUGCCAGCACCACAACAUGUAACUAGUCUUCUGAUAUAGAAACAUGCAACUCCAAAUAUAACAGCACGUAACAAAAGAAAGGUUUGAACAUCAUGUCAAAACAUAAUAUAUUAUUUUUCUCUCCAAAUACCCGCCAACAAGCUACUUAGGAUAGAGUAAAAGGGGCUUGGAUAACUUGCACCCUCCUUAAGAGGUAAAACUCAUGACUGGACAUAAGAUAACAUAGACAAUAACCGUUACAUAACCAAGAUUUUUAUCAAUAUCGUUAAAAUAUUCAAAAGUGCAAAAGAAAUAUCGUUGCUCCCCCCACCUCACCUGACCCCCGCGCACCUUGUGGUGGUAGGUAAGGAUUGACGUGCAAAAUACAUCCAUUUUAGUGACAACUAAUUCUGGACAGAGGUAGUAUUACUUAAUAUGAAUAGCAAAUAGGCUAGUAGAAGCCCACCUCUCAGGCAAAGUGAUUCCUUGUUUUUCAAGUUCCUUGAAAAGCAGCACCAGCCAAUUCUCAGAAACAACAAUAUCCUUUGUACCAUCCCCAUCAGCGGCCUCCCUAAACCAAGAAACCACCACCAUCAUCAAACAUUAGCUGAAUACAUGUGCAUCGCUACAGAAGUAACAAAAUAAAUCCAAUCUUGUGGCGGAUCAAUCUCCAUACCAGUUCGAGCCAUAGUCAUAUUACAAAAAACAAAAUAGUCAUAUUACAAGAUGGCAGAGAUAGACAGAUAGUCAUAUUACAAAAACAACAAGAUGGCAGAGAUGAUGGAGAGGUUCCACUUAUCAGCAAGUUACUUCUGGUGGAGGAGUGGUGUCAUGGCAUACGGCCUAUCACCACCAGCUCCAUUAUACAGUAUAUGGGAGGAAAUAUAAAACGAUAUUUCUUUCUGUACCCUCUUCUCGAUAUUGCAGUUAUAUGUGAUCAAACUUAAAUAUAAUGGUUUGAGAAAAUAUGCUAUUGUGUUUUUUAAAGCUACUUAUUGUGUUUCUUCCUGAAGUCUUAACCAACCUUGUAUCAGAAGUCGAUGAUGUUUCAUUUGAUUCAGCAGGAAGGUCAGGAGCUCCUGUAGUGCUACUAGGUCCAUCAUCAGCUUCAUCGCUCUUAGAUGAAAGAUCACCUACUGCAGAUGUGACAGAUAGGAACAGCAGUGGAGUGGAUAAUUUCUGCAUUUGGAGAAAAGUCAUCAGCGCUCAGAAGCAAUGAAAACAUAAAUAUAUUAUCAUUAAAACAAAUACUAUUUGAGAAACAGCAUACAGCAGAUGUGUCAUAAUAGCCAAUUUAACAAAGCAUUAUUAUAGAACCACAAAAAAUAUAUCAUUGGAUUUGAAACAUCAUACAGCAAUGUUUUAUACUAGGCAGUUCAACAAAGCUUAAAACGACAAAAAUACAUUCAAGAGAAUUCAAAUAGGUAACCGAGCAUACAUGAGCACAGCAUCACAUGAAUUGAAUGGGAUGCUCUACAGUAACUUAGUACACACACCCCCGUCCCACAAUAUAAGAUCGUUAGCUAGCUUGAAAAACGAUCUUAUAUUGUGGGACGGAGGCAGUAGUAUAUAUUAUCAGGGUUAGUGCUAAAAUAUAUUGGAAAAGAAACUACAGACAUGUUUGUAGUUUCUUCAUCUCUCUCCAAGUCUUAAUCCAGCACACACCUCAAGAAGCUCAGUCUGCGGAAUAAGGAGCCAAACAAAAGCUAUGCCAAAAUAAAUUCUAUGCCAACUCAUAAGUCAGUAUUUUCCACUGAGGGUUGAGUGAUCCUGAACCUAGCAUGGUUAUAGCUCUUUGUUGGACUCCAAAUCCGGUAGAUAAAACACCAUUUAUUCAUAUAAAUAUAAGAGCUGGUUGUGAUGGCAGGUCAGCUGAUUCAAAUAGCUCUGCUGGUUGUGAUCCUCUCCGCCAAAAGUAACUUGUUGACAAGUAGAACCAUCUCCAUGAUCUCCAUAAUCUUGUUUUGGGGGUUUAAAUAUGUAAUACAUAUGAUUCUUUAUACAGUUUUUCUAUCUGCAAAUUGUCUGGCUUUUCCCUAAGCCUAGGCUAGCUUUGAUAUCAUUGGAUUUUCCACCAGAUUGGAUUUCUUUUUACUUCCGUAGCUACACAUGGCCCCUCAGCUAGUUACAGAUACAAAUGCGUUAAAUCCAUUAAGUGGACUAAACCAGGGGACUAAGGUGAGUACGAAGUAUAGUUAUAUUUGUCACAAAUUAUGAAACAUAAUAUGGUUGCAACUUGCAACUAUAGUUCCAGUGUGGGAGUAUAACAGAACAUAGUCAACUAAUCCCUGGUCUUCUAGAUAAACGAAUAACAGCAAGAGAACGAUUCUUUCAAUUAUCUUCAUGCACAUAGAGGAGCUAACACAAUAUUAAUGUACAAAGUUGAGACACUUAUUUUUGGGACGGAGGGAGUAGGUCACAACUUGCAAAAGUACAUAUAAUUUUGUAAGAAAAAAAGAAUGUGCAGCUUAGACAUUUGAAGAGAUCCAAGGCCUUGAAGAGCUAAGGAAUAAAAUUACCUGAAUGCCUUGCACGACAAAUUUGAGUGGUGCCCAUCUUUGAAUCCACCUAAAUGGAGGAUAUCCAAGAACUUGCAGUGCUUGAAUAGAAUUCCAUACAAAAGGACAUUUUGCUUUAGAUAUCCUCCUGACUACCUCAAGAGCAAUAACCUUUACCAAAAACGACGCCACAUGACCUGUUGACUCCCUGCUCAAGAUCAAUUGUUUUGGCACAAUAUGCUUUAUUGUCUUUGGUGAAAUGGCCUUUGCUGGAGAAGCAACCAAUGUACCCUGAUAUUUCUUUUCACCAUCUGGUUUGCUUGAAGACUGGAAGUUUUUAGUAAAAUUGGCCAUUCCUACAAAGCACAAGCCAAAUCAAAUCACGAGCCCUGCUAUCUGCCUCUAGCACUAGCACCAGCUCAACCAGCAAUUGCAAAGCAGGUGUCUCUAACUAAGUAACAAGAAGGAAAUGGAACUAACAGGAAAACAAAUCCGCAUACGGUUAUCGGAGCAAAUUUAUGACAGCGUGAGAUAUAAGAAAAGUAAACAAUCAGUCCACGCAUUAAGAAUUAAACUGCAAAACAUGACAGUCCUCAUCUUUUGAUGUGUAACUCCUGUCAGUUUUCUAACUGAUUCAAUGGUAUUUCCAUGCUGCAGAAAUAAUGUGUCUCUAGCAACCAGGAAAUGGUAUUAGAAAAGUAUAAUCAGAUUAUGUCAGAUGAAUUAAUAAACUGGAAAACAGGAUAACCUUACCGAAUAAUCCCAGCUAUGACACCAAAUUAAAAUCAUACUAUCUGAUGUGGAAGAGCUCCCAUCGGUUUGUAAAUAACUUUCCGUACAACAAACAGAAAGCAUUUCUGCACUAUUGCAAGUUAGAACCCAGGACCUCUCGGAAUUUCUUAGUUGAAAAGUAUCUACGUACACACACACUCCAACUAUCAAUUUCCCCACGACUAACGACGAAACUAUCCAAGGUCAACUAACUAUGCGUCAACGUUACUAGGGCCACUAGAAUACAACCAAAUUCAGCAGAAUCUCCUACUAAUCGGCAGAACCCAGUAGCGGACCCAAAGUGGACCGUGUUCAGUUUAAUCCGUCUGAAAUUUUGGGGAAAACGAGCUGCCACUAGACGUCUAGAACACAACCAAAUCAGACCCCCGACCGAUCGACGGGGCGGAAUGCGGUAUCGAGGAGAGCAAUCAAACACGAGGCGGUCGGAAACCCGAGGGAGCUGCGUGAGGGCUUCCAUUCCAUACCAGCGAGGAGAUCGGCGGCCAGGGCGGAUCGCCUGCGCGGUGGAGAGGGGGGGCGUCGCGGGUUCGGUGGGCGGAGAGGGAGGAGGCCUGGACGGUCCUUCCUUCCCCGGCGCGUCCCUGGCGGGGAGGGAGAGCGCGGCGGAUUCGGCGGGCGGGGCGGCGGGCUCGUGAGCCGGGACCGGGACCGAGACUGGGUGGGAGGGAGGGAGGGAUCUCCAGCUGCGGGUGCGGCGCGUUCCCCAACGGGGACAGGACAGUUUGGUUUCAGGACAGGACAGGACAGGUUCUUCUAGAGGAGAAAGGAAGUUCCUUUUUGGUUCACUUGCGAGAGGAAGUCCCUCUAUGGUUCACUUACAAAACGCAGUUGUAGGAACAAAAAAAAAA